GACGAACGCUGGCGGCGUGCCUAAUACAUGCAAGUCGAGCGGACGAAUCGAAAGCUUGCUUUUGAUUCGUUAGCGGCGGACGGGUGAGUAACACGUGGGCAACCUGCCCUGUAGACGGGGAUAACACCGAGAAAUCGGUGCUAAUACCGGAUAACACGAAAUGUCGCAUGACGUUUCGUUGAAAGACGGCGCAAGCUGUCGCUACAGGAUGUGCCCGCGGCGCAUUAGCUAGUUGGUGAGGUAACGGCUCACCAAGGCGACGAUGCGUAGCCGACCUGAGAGGGUGAUCGGCCACACUGGGACUGAGACACGGCCCAGACUCCUACGGGAGGCAGCAGUAGGGAAUCUUCCGCAAUGGACGAAAGUCUGACGGAGCAACGCCGCGUGAGCGAAGAAGGCCUUCGGGUCGUAAAGCUCUGUUGUUAGGGAAGAACAAGUAACGCAGUAACUGGCGUUACCGUGUCGGUACCUAACGAGAAAGCCACGGCUAACUACGUG
rnacentral:rRNA from 1 species